CCUACGGGGUGCAGCAGUGGGGAAUAUUGGACAAUGGGCGAAAGCCUGAUCCAGCCAUGCCGCGUGUGUGAAGAAGGCCUUCGGGUUGUAAAGCACUUUCAGUGGGGAAGAAAGCCUUGGGGCUAAUACCCUCGAGGAAGGACAUCACCCACAGAAGAAGCACCGGCUAACUCCGUGCCAGCAGCCGCGGUAAUACGGAGGGUGCGAGCGUUAAUCGGAAUUACUGGGCGUAAAGCGCGCGUAGGCGGUCUGAUAAGCCGGUUGUGAAAGCCCCGGGCUCAACCUGGGAACGACAUCCGGAACUGUCAGGCUAGAGUGCAGGAGAGGAAGGUAGAAUUCCCGGUGUAGCGGUGAAAUGCGUAGAGAUCGGGAGGAAUACCAGUGGCGAAGGCGGCCUUCUGGACUGACACUGACGCUGAGGUGCGAAAGCGUGGGUAGCAAACAGGAUUAGAUACCCGGGUAGUC
rnacentral:rRNA from 1 species